rnacentral:rRNA from 1 species
AGUCGAGCGAACAGAUAAGGAGCUUGCUCCUUUGACGUUAGCGGCGGACGGGUGAGUAACACGUGGAUAACGUACCUAUAAGACUGGGAUAACUUCGGGAAACCGGAGCUAAUACCGGAUAACAUAUUGAACCGCAUGGUUCAAUAGUGAAAGGCGGCUUUGCUGUCACUUAUAGAUGGAUCCGCGCCGUAUUAGCUAGUUGGUAAGGUAACGGCUUACCAAGGCAACGAUACGUAGCCGACCUGAGAGGGUGAUCGGCCACACUGGAACUGAGACACGGUCCAGACUCCUACGGGAGGCAGCAGUAGGGAAUCUUCCGCAAUGGGCGAAAGCCUGACGGAGCAACGCCGCGUGAGUGAUGAAGGUCUUCGGAUCGUAAAACUCUGUUAUCAGGGAAGAACAAAUGUGUAAGUAACUGUGCACAUCUUGACGGUACCUGAUCAGAAAGCCACGGCUAACUACGUGCCAGCAGCCGCGGUAAUACGUAGGUGGCAAGCGUUAUCCGGAAUUAUUGGGCGUAAAGCGCGCGUAGGCGGUUUUUUAAGUCUGAUGUGAAAGCCCACGGCUCAACCGUGGAGGGUCAUUGGAAACUGGAAAACUUGAGUGCAGAAGAGGAAAGUGGAAUUCCAUGUGUAGCGGUGAAAUGCGCAGAGAUAUGGAGGAACACCAGUGGCGAAGGCGACUUUCUGGUCUGUAACUGACGCUGAUGUGCGAAAGCGUGGGGAUCAAACAGGAUUAGAUACCCUGGUAGUCCACGCCGUA